UACAGAGGUCUCAAGCGUUGUUCGGAUUCAUUGGGCGUAAAGGGUGUGUAGGUGGCGCCGUAAGUCGGGUGUGAAAUUUCGGAGCUUAACUCCGAAACUGCAUUCGAUACUGCGGUGCUUGAGGACUGGAGAGGAGACUGGAAUUCAUGGUGUAGCGGUGAAAUGCGCAGAUAUCAGGAAGAACACCCGUGGCGAAAGCGGCUCUCUGGAACGGUACUGACGCUGAGACGGCGAAAGCGUGGGGGAGCGAACAGG
rnacentral:rRNA from 1 species